GACGAACGCUGGCGGCGUGCUUAACACAUGCAAGUCGAACGAUGAAGAAAAGAAUUGAAGCUUCGGCAGAAAUUCAUUUCGGAUUAGUGGCAGACGGGUGAGUAACGCGUGAGCAACCUACCUCUUACAAAGGGAUAGCCUCGGGAAACCGGGAUUAAUACCAUAUAACAUUGCGACGAAGCAUUUCGAUGCAAUCAAAGCUACGGCGGUAAGAGAUGGGCUCGCGUCCCAUUAACCAGAUGGUGAGGUAACGGCUCACCAUAGUAACGAUGGGUAACCGGCCUGAGAGGGUGAACGGUCACACUGGAACUGAGACACGAUCCAGACUCCUACGGGAAGCAGCAGUGGGGAAUAUUGCACAAUGGAGGGAACUCUGAUGCAGCGACGCCGCGUGAGUGAUGAAGGAAUUCGUUUCGUAAAACUCUGUUCUAUGGGAAGAAAAGGACUGUACCAUAGGAGAAAGCUCCGGCUAAAUACGUG
rnacentral:rRNA from 1 species